ACAGUUAAAAAAUAAGGUUUCUCUCAAUGAACACAAUCCAGGCUGACACCCACAUUAGAUCAUAUGAAAGUCUCUUACAUGAAGAAAAGAGUGUGCUGGCAGAUGACCCUCACCAAAUGUACAAGAAGGCUACAACUCCCUGCGGAAGAGAACUUCUUAGGAAAAGUGUGUCAACCUGGGAAUACGGGCCAUGAAAGGUGGAGUGAAGACUGGAGAGGAGAGAGGAUUAGUUUAGAACACAUUUGGAAGGACCACUAAUUUCAUUAAUAUGGACUUUAUCCAGACUGUGUUUUUUUCCACUGCUGCAAAUUCCAUCACUUCCUCUUCUACCACUACUGAACAGGAGACAAGAUGAUCCAUUUGGUAAUCUCAGUAGUUUGUAGGCCUUGAUCUGUGCAGCUUUUUCUUUUCUAGCCCUUAGUUCUGUCCGUGUUUCCUCACAUAUCAUGUUUUCCUGCCCUCUGAUCUUCCUCAGCAUGUUAUUCUGGCUUUUUUCAUGGGUCCACACCUUUACUAAAAUGCAGAACUAGACUCCAGAUAAUGCAGUCCCAAUGCUGACUAUAUCUCUAGAUUAUAAAAAUUAUUUUAUACUGCUUACAAUAUGUAUUUCAGGCUCUUUUUUUUUAUUUUUUUCCACUUUUUCUUCU